rnacentral:rRNA from 1 species
CCUGUUUAUCAAAAACAUGUCUGUAAGUGUUUUGUUUACAGUCUGACCUGCCCACUGACUUUGUUAAAGGGCCGCGGUAAUUUGACCGUGCGAAGGUAGCAUAAUCAUUAGUUUUUUAAUUGGAGGCUUGUAUGAAUGGUUGGACGAAGAAUUAGCUGUCUCUUUGUUUUCUUGAAUUUAACUUUUAAGUGAGAAGGCUUAAAUUGAUUGGAGGGACGAUAAGACCCUAUAAAACUUUAUAUAUCUUCACUAUGGUAUAUCGAUUAUUGUUUAAGUUUAUUUUAGUUGUAGUUAUAUUUUGCUGGGGCGGCAUUUUCAUAAUUUGUAACUGUUUUUUUUAAUUUAAUAAAUAUAAUUAGGUUAUGAUCCUUUAUUAGAGAUUAAAAGAUUAAGUUACUUUAGGGAUAACAGCGUAAUUUUCUCUGAGAGUUCUUAUCGACGAGAUUAGUUGCGACCUCGAUGUUGAAUUAAAGUUUCAGAUUGGUGUAGCCGCUUUUCUGGWGGGUCUGUYCGACCMWYAWAA